UACUCAACUUCUUGUACCCAGAGGACGAACGAAAAAAAAUACUUGAGCCCUUUACGAACAUAUAGCUGUUUGUUAUAAUUCAUGAGGCUGUUCUUUAUCAUCCGAAUGUGCUAAAAGCUGUUAAUCAGUAACUAAUGCUAGAUCCUGUCUAGUGCAAGCUCUUUCUGCGCUGUUUCCCUUUUCUUUUUUCUCGAUAGUGGUUUUUUGUACUUGUGAUUGCAAGUUGCCCUCCUCUCCCCACAAUAAAAGUGGCAAUAUGAAAGAACUGUUCAUAGUGAGUUUCCUCUCACAUUUUACUAUUCCUCAACUGUUCAUUUGUGAGUUCUUCAUUUCACACUCAAUUCGGUUUCACACUGUUCACUGGACUAGCUUCCACUAUUCAUCAAAAUAUCUUUCCCUAUAAAGUGUAUUUUGAUUUCCCUUUCCAUUCACAUGUUUCCUUGCUUUUUGAUGAGUUCUGUUCUGCACAAGCUAAAUCAAAUACUAAGAGGAAGAAGAGGUAAAAUCCAAGAAGCAAGAUCCCAUCCAUACUAUGGCUUUGAGAAUUUGUGAAAUUGAUCUUUGAAUUUUGUUUAUUGUCUGUUUGUUAUCACCAAUACUCAACUUCUUGUACUCAGAGGAUGAACGGAAAAAAAUACUCGAGCCCUUUACAAACUUAUAGCUGUUUGGUAUAAUUCAUGAGGUUGUUCUUCAUCAUCCGGAUGUGCUAAAGGCUGUUAAUCGGUAACUAAUGCUAGAUCCUGUCCAGUGCAGGCAGCGGCGGAGCCAAGAUUCGAGUUUAGUGCGGGCAACUUUUUUCGACGUCGAACGUCAAGGUUUUUGGUCAUGGAUUUUGUGAUGAUAAAAAAAUACUCCAAUUUCACAUUUCAUCGUAAAAGUUUUUGGCUGCACCGAAGAAGUUAGAUUCGUUGAUAGCACCACAUUUCGGUUGUUGACAACAACGGCUAGUCGGACGCAUUUUCGCUCUGAGGUUGAAUAGUGGCCAAUUGGCGUCGCAAGGAUCAGUGGAGUCGAAAAUUGGGAGUUCUUCAACUUUGUCAGAAUUGGAUAGUAGAACUCUUCAAGGUGCAGCACUUUGUGAAUCCAAUGAGUAUUCGCUACUUUUGGAGCAGGUACUAGAAGAGUUUGAUGCUUCAUAUUCUUGGGUUGAUGCUUUCAUCGUUGGACAGGUAUUGCAAUUAGCAUAGCACUGAGUAUUUAUGAUCCUUUACUGUCUCUCUCUUUAAAUCAUAUUUGAGAGGUUAAAACCAAAGGAGAAGAGGAUCUAUAGCCUCAUUUUAUAGAUGAAUACAUUUUCUGUGAGAAAAAUGGAUGAAUUUUUUUAACCUUAUACCUUCAUUUGUGCCAGCAACACAUAUUUUGUUUUCUUCAGCAAGAUCUGUUUUAUCACCCAACUAAUUUGUUUGUAACUUUACUAGAUCCCCUCAUUGGUAAACUUUUCUUGUGAAGCUUCAAAAGGUCAUUGGUAUCAUCCAACAUAAUAUGUACUUCCAAUAGAGCUGAUGAUGAGACCAGAAAGGGGUUCUUUGGGAAACUUCCAACAAAUAUUCAUUGUCCCCCCCAACAAACCUAAUCGCAAGAAACCCCAAGUAAGGAAUAGAGUAAAUUUCUACUUUCUCAUGUGUUUCACUAUUUCUCAAGCUGUAUAAAGGUUUUAUGAAUCUUUUAAUUAUGUGUUUCAUACAUUUGUCGUCACUUUUCUUCUUGUUCUUUCUAAUGUUAAUUUACUUUAUGUUCAAA